UAAUAAUAAUGGCCCAAAGUGUUUGAGGCAAUGAUUAAAACCAUAAAGGCACUGAUGAAAGUAGGGCUGGAGGAUGGGAGUGGGUGAGAGAUCUGUGAGGAGGAGAUAGGCAAGAGAACCAAAAUUGCUGUUUUCUUUACACAUGGGAUUUUUCUUUACUGGUCUUCUUUGCUUAUACAUUACAUUUAUUUUACCAGAUUCUGCUUAUCUCAAGAUGGAAACUUUGAGUGUGUUUGAGGCCCUGAAAAGCAAGACUAUGGUGUCCGAUGUAGAGGUCACUUUGAGUCACAGCAUUGGAGUAGGGUGGAAUGCUUCUCGUAGAGAUAUAACAGCAAGCAUCAAUGACUUGAAAUAUUUUCUUGAGUUCCACUCAGUGCACCUGACUCCUAUUCCCCAGGUGGCCCAAAUUCAGUGGCUGAAGUGAGAGGAAGCCUGACCUGCGCUUCCUCAAGUCGGGUAACCGCUCUGGACUGUAUGAACAAUCCAGCCAUGACAACCAUCCAACUGUGGGGACGAGUGACAUGGAGUUGGCAAAGGCUCCUUUUGAACCCUUUGAAGUAAACAUGCAGAUAUGAGCAAUUGACUCAUUUUAUUCUUCCUGCUGGGAAAGCCUCAUCUUUUUACUUCAAACCACCUAAAUCUCAUGCAUCUUUCAAGACUCAGCCAGCGGCAUACAUCCCAUCUGUCUUGGUGUGAGAGACCCCAGUUAUUCCAUCUCAAAAGUGGCUCAAGUCUACACUUUCACAUCUCAUCUGGCAAAGGACAAAAAUUGGUCAGAGGCAACCCAUUCGUUUUAGUCACUUAAGUUUUUAUUUGGCAGACAUUGUCCUUAAUUAUUAAUUCACUAUUUCAACCAACAAUCAUGAAUUAUUACUUGCUUCAAAUUGUCAGAAGUCAAAUAAAACCUCUCAGAAAUCGUUAUGUCUCCCUUCCCUAAUAAAAGUCAAGAUUGUUUUGCUAUAGGAUGAAUCAAAUUUUAUACA